UACGUAGGGGGCAAGCGUUGUCCGGAUUUAUUGGGCGUAAAGAGCGUGUAGGCGGCCAUACAGGUCCGUUGUGAAACUGGAGGCUUAACCUCCAGACGUCGAUGGAAACCGUAUGGCUAGAGUCCGGAAGAGGAGAGUGGAAUUCCUGGUGUAGCGGUAAAAUGCGUAGAGAUCAGGAGGAACACCGGUGGCGAAGGCGGCUCUCUGGGACGGUACUGACGCUGAGACGCGAAAGCGUGGGAGCGAACAG
rnacentral:rRNA from 1 species